rnacentral:rRNA from 1 species
GGGGCAAAGUCUUAAAGUCUGUCGAUUUGUUUGAGCCGGUCGGGUCGAAGGAGGAGGAGGAGGAGGAGGGGGAGCUGACGACCACUGGCGGCAGACGGAAGAGGCUGCUUAGAGGCGCGCUUAACCCGGAUCGAGUGUCCCUCAGAGCUUAGAGGGGAAACUGCGACUCAGCUCCUUCUUCCAGCCGAGCCCAAGCGAAUGAGCAAGCGAGCUCCUGCUCUAAGUCGCCGCCCUGACUAACUAACUAACCCGCGCUCGCUCUCGCCUACUUCCCCUUCCCGCCCCGCGAGCUGUCCUCCAGCAGACGCUCCACCUCCGACGACGACGAGACGCGGAAGUCGAAGCCCGAGCCGUACGAGAAGUGGUUGGCGAAGACCUGUCGUGGUUUAUGGUUAUUGGUGUAGUACAGGGUUGUGUCCUCUGUUCUGGUCCUCAACGUUGAACACAGUCUCCUAACGUUAUGUUUCUCCUUCGUACCCCUCGUGUUCCUAUAUUACCCUCUCCAUUGGUCCUGGGUACUUCGGUAUGUUAACAACCUAUUCAGUUAGAGUUGCGACGUCUACCUCGAACGUCGUUUCGCUUCGUGCAACCUUGACCAGGCAAGACCACACGGUCAUUGAAGUCUUUGAUCAGUUAGUUCCUUUUUUCGUAAGCAACAGCAACCUCAAUUGUGGCGAAAGUCAUCGGCGUUCGCAGCACUAAGUCAGUCCCUGUGUACCUACGGAGUUCCACUCUUCGACGACGUCGAACUUCUUGUCUUCCCUUAUCAAUAGGCGAAGUGAUAUCCGGUAUCACGAUGUAGGUUAUCAUAUAACCUGUUUCGUUAUCUACGUCUUCUACGUGUCGUAGUACUGAAAGAAUCUGACCUGGUACAGCUCCCCAUAGUACUUGAGAGGCGUUUCUGUUUUUAGAAGAAGAGGUGCCGGCACCCGUAAACCCUACGACUGAAGAAGCAGUUCCAGCUACUACUACACGUACACUUGAAUCCUUACGAACGGUGAUGGGAACGCUCCGUAUUUCGCUUUGGUUCUUGAAUAUAACCGACGUACUUCAGUCCGGGUCAAGAACGACUGUUCUUAGACUUCAUGGUACUUGGGCUCCGGACCUUUAAACCCCUCCUGCCUUUGUUCAUAAAAGCGGUACGAUGACCUGUCUAUAUACGGUAGAGUUUUCUAGAACGCUGGAUAUAGAGUUAUUUAGUUGGAUAGAAUGUGUUCAUACGCUUGCUUCUACAUAGUGAACCCAGUACCAAAUAACCCAAUCUCCAAUUAGUAUAACUACUUUCCUUGUACACGACACCUUGAGGUGGUCUAACACUCACCUUUCCCGUUCGACCGUUAUAGACGCACCGUAGGAAACUAACCUCGACGUCGCCGUAUACGUUCAGGCAGCUCUCCGAGUUCCUACAUGUACGAGCUACGCCGCUUCCGCUAAGAAGACAAACCUCACUAGAUUAGAUCGAUUAUGGGAGGGACCGCAUUUAUACAUCGUAGGAGUCAUUUUGGGACUGCUAGCACGGAGUCACCGAUGUUGACUUUACUGGCUCUAACGUGUUGUCCAGGCGUCUACCUGAUAUAAAGACCACCAAGCCGGACUCCGUUGUCUACAUCACAUCUACUAUGAACAAGUCAGCAACUCUCUAGAGUCAUCUACCCUUAACGAAACACCGUAGUGGCCACUGAAGUCAUCACAAUCUUCUCUCUGGUUGCGCUAACACAUCGACGACACAUGGUGUCUAAUCCCCUUUUGUAGACGACGUUUAAAACUAGUUAAGAAAACUACAGGCAAGAAAAACAAUAGGAAACGUCCUUGUGGACUUUCAUCCUAAAGUUAAAACAGAACUUUUAAGUUACGUUGUAUGGUAUUUUUUCAGGUACUUUCAACUG